rnacentral:rRNA from 1 species
GUGAACGCUGGCGGUAGGCCUAACCCAUGCAAGUCGAACGGCAGCACAGUAAGAGCUUGCUCUUACGGGUGGCGAGUGGCGGACGGGUGAGGAAUACAUCGGAAUCUACUUUUUCGUGGGGGAUAACGUAGGGAAACUUACGCUAAUACCGCAUACGACCUACGGGUGAAAGCAGUGGAUCUUCGGACCUUGCGCGAUUGAAUGAGCCGAUGUCGGAUUAGCUAGUUGGCGGGGUAAAGGCCCACCAAGGCGACGAUCCGUAGCUGGUCUGAGAGGAUGAUCAGCCACACUGGAACUGAGACACGGUCCAGACUCCUACGGGAGGCAGCAGUGGGGAAUAUUGGACAAAGGGCGCAAGCCUGAUCCAGCCAUACCGCGUGGGUGAAGAAGGCCUUCGGGUUGUAAAGCCCUUUUGUUGGGAAAGAAAAGCAGCAGGUUAAUACCCCGCUGUUCUGACGGUACCCAAAGAAUAAGCACCGGCUAACUUCGUG